GAUCCUGGCUCAGAUUAACGCUGGCGGCAUCCUUACACAUGCAAGUCGACGGCAGCGCGGGGCAACCCUGCGGCGACGGCGUACGGGUGAGUAAUGCAUCGGAACGUGUCCUCUUGUGGGGGAUAACCAGUCGAAAGACUGGCUAAUACCGCAUGAGAUCGCAAGAUGAAAGCAGGGGACCCGCAAGGGCCUUGCGCGAGAGGAGCGGCCGAUGCCCGAUUAGCUAGUUGGCGGGGUAACGGCCCACCAAGGCGACGAUCGGUAGCUGGUCUGAGAGGACGACCAGCCACACUGGGACUGAGACACGGCCCAGACUCCUACGGGAGGCAGCAGUGGGGAAUUUUGGACAAUGGGGGCAACCCUGAUCCAGCCAUGCCGCGUGUGUGAAGAAGGCCUUCGGGUUGUAAAGCACUUUCGGACGGAACGAAAUCGCGCGAUCUAAUAAGUCGCGUGGAUGACGGUACCGUAAGAAGAAGCAC
rnacentral:rRNA from 1 species